GGAUGUGGCUCAUGUGGUAGCACGCUUGCCUGGCAUGCAUGAGGCACUGGGUUCAAUCCUCAGCUCCA
rnacentral:tRNA from 1 species